GCUGGGCUUGGAGGCAUGUGCUUAUAGCCCUAGCUACUUGAAAGGCUGAGGAGGGAGGAUUGCUUGAGCCCAGGAGUUCUGAGCUGUAGUGAGCUAUGCCAAUUGGCAUCAAUAUAUCAAUAUGGUGACCUCCCUGGCACAGGGGACCACCAGGUUACCUGAGGAGGGGUGAACCAGCUCAGGUUGGAAAUGGAGCAGGUCAAAAUUCCCAUGAUGAUCAGUAGUGAGAUCAUGCCUGUGAAUAGCCAUUACACUUCAGCCUGGGCAACAUAGCAAGAACCUCUCUCU
rnacentral:SRP_RNA from 1 species